AAUUUAAUGUAUGCUUGUCUUGUUGAAUGCACGUUGCUUGCUUAAAUAUUCAUGUUCGAUUUGGUAAUGGAGACUAGGAACAAAUAGGAAUGGGAUUGAAUUGAUAAUUGGAUAAGAUGACAGCAUCACUAGAUAUCCUGGGAGAUGGUGGACGGACCGGGUCCAUAGGGAACCCUACCGGGAACGUUGUCUCAUACCGGAC
rnacentral:lncRNA from 1 species